AUUGAACGCUGGCGGCAUGCUUUACAAAUGUAAGUCGAACGGAAGGGCGGGGUUGGGGUUGGGGGCGAGUGGGGAAAGGGUGAGUAAUGGAUGGGAAUGUGCUGAGUGGUGGGGGAUAGUAGGGUGAAAGGCGGAUUAAUAGUGCAUACGAGGUGAGGGUGAAAGCGGGGGGGCGGAAGGAAUCGCGGUAUUGGAGCGGGCGAUGUCGGAUUAGCUAGUUGGUGGGGUAAAGGCUUACCAAGGCGACGAUCCGUAGCUGGUCUGAGAGGACGACCAGCCACACUGGGACUGAGACACGGCCCAGACUCCUACGGGAGGCAGCAGUGGGGAAUUUUGGACAAUGGGGGCAACCCUGAUCCAGCCAUGCCGCGUGCGGGAAGAAGGCCUUCGGGUUGUAAACCGCUUUUGUUCGGGAAGAAAUCCUCUGGGCUAAUACCCCGGGGGGAUGACGGUACCGGAAGAAUAAGCACCGGCUAACUACGUG
rnacentral:rRNA from 1 species